AUGCGGCCGCGUCAGUUCGCGGCAGCGAGGCGGGGAUGCGGCGCUGCGCUCCCGGGAUGCAGCAGCGAGGCGUCGAGGCAGCGCUGCGCUCGGGCGCGGCAUCAAGCGGCAGCAGCGAGGCGGGAGGCGCACAUGGAGAUGAAGGAGGAGAAAAUGGAGAGUCGGCCGGGGCAAGGAGUUCGCCGGCGUCGAAGCCACGGACCACGGCGCUGCAAGCUUGCAGGGGGCGGUGGCCAUGGCGGGGAGGCGGCGUUGAGCUCGGGAGCCGCAUGCCUCCUCUGCCGCUCCUUCUUUCUUUCUUCCCCAACUCCUCUCUUGCACGUCGUCGUCUUGCCGCCCACGCAGCAAAGAGGUCGAGGAAGAGGCGGGAGUCGGGUCAAUCGAUCUGUCGCACGAGGAUGCGGCACUCCCUGUUGCAUCUAG
rnacentral:rRNA from 1 species